UGUUGGAGAGUUUGAUCCUGGCUCAGGACGAACGCUGGCGGCGUGCUUAACACAUGCAAGUCGAGCGGAAAGGCCCUUCGGGGUACUCGAGCGGCGAACGGGUGAGUAACACGUGAGGAACCUGCCCUGGACUUUGGGAUAACCCUCGGAAACGGGGGCUAAUACCGAAUACGACACGGUCUCGCAUGAGAUCCGUGUGGAAAGUUUUUCGGUCUGGGAUGGUCUCGCGGCCUAUCAGCUUGUUGGUGGGGUAAUGGCCUACCAAGGCGACGACGGGUAGCCGGCCUGAGAGGCGACCGGCCACACUGGGACUGAGACACGGCCCAGACUCCUACGGRRGCCAGGCAGUGGGGAAUAUGCACAAUGGCGGAAGCCUGAUGCAGCGACGCCG
rnacentral:rRNA from 1 species